AUCUCUCCGAACUCUCCACACGACUAACCCCUCGUUUCUUCGCCUCCAUUCCUCCCUGGUCUCCCCUUCUCCCUCACCUUCACAGAUUAAAACUCAUUCAUCUCUCUUUCUACAGAACUCACUCAAUCGGAUAUCUCUCUUUCUACAAAACUCACUCGAUCUUCUUUGGAGAUUAGGGGAUGAAAUUGAUGAUGAAGAUACAAAAGAAGAAAAACACGCUUACAAAUUUUGAUACAGGAUUUGUUGUUGUGGUAUUUCUCUUUCUCUACAGCAAGAAGGGGUUCGCUGGCAAGGUUAUUAUACAUAUCUACAACAGAAAGGGUAUAUGCAUUACAAACUAUGGGAAAACAUGGGAGAAGUUAAUGAUGGCUAAAGCAUACUACGCCAAGGUCUUGCACAUGCAGUUAGUGAAUCUAAUCCUUCAUACCUAUCCUCCAAAUCAAAGUUUGGACUUGUUGAUUGGGACAAGUUAGAUGCAGAAAUAAUAUUUAAUUAGUUAAUUACUCGGUGGUGCUAUAGGUAGAGAAAGGUGGACAAAAUGUUGAUGGUGGUAGUUAUAUUUAGUUUUAGUGGAUGGGUUGUUCGUUGAAUUCUUCCGUUAGCAGGGUAACUCUUACAUAUGGAACUAAGAUGAGUCUUUUUGUCUUAUUUACCAAUUCAGGUCACAAAACAUGAUAUUAACAGGCAUCAUAGAAUUAUUUUUGGAUGUUAGAGUUAAUUCUUAAUCAACACUAAGAGCUUCUAAUAUGGUGUUGAUACCUUGUCUUCUCUUUCGGCCAAUGGAAAUAUAUGUGGGUGAUGAGGCCACGCUUGAAUUGCAAGUUACUGGGGAAAGUUCACAUUCUAUUUUUUAAGUUAAUGUUAAGACCUUGGAUUCACAGAUCUAUAUAUUCCAAGUUGAGAAAAAUAUAAGUCAUGUUUUUGACUGUA